GAUGAACGCUGGCGGCGUGCCUAAUACAUGCAAGUCGAGCGAACGGACGAGAAGCUUGCUUCUCUGAUGUUAGCGGCGGACGGGUGAGUAACACGUGGAUAACCUACCUAUAAGACUGGGAUAACUUCGGGAAACCGUAGCUAAUACCGGAUAAUAUUUUGAACCGCAUGGUUCAAAAGUGAAAGACGGUCUUGCUGUCACUUAUAGAUGGAUCCGCGCUGCAUUAGCUAGUUGGUAAGGUAACGGCUUACCAAGGCAACGAUGCAUAGCCGACCUGAGAGGGUGAUCGGCCACACGGGAACUGAGACACGGUCCAGACUACUACGGGAGGCAGCAGUAGGGAAUCUUCCGCAAUGGGCGAAAGCCUGACGGAGCAACGCCGCGUGAGUGAUGAAGGUCUUCGGAUCGUAAAACUCUGUUAUUAGGGAAGAACAUAUGUGUAAGUAAAUGUGCACAUCUUGACGGUACCUAAUCAAAAAGCCACGGCUAACUACGUG
rnacentral:rRNA from 1 species